rnacentral:rRNA from 1 species
UGAAACCGUUUAGGGGUAAACCUGAGAAACCCGAAAGGUCGAAGGAAGAAAUUCAUUCGAGUCUCGAUGUUAACGAUAAACGAGUUGUAUGACAAAAAUUGCUUGCAGUUUUUGCAUCAUUCAUUUGUCGAGUUUUCAACGAACUCGUGCACUUUUCUUCUGGUAGGACGUCGUGAUCCGUUGAGUGUCGGUCUAAGGAGUGUGGUGGAGUCCGUCUAAAAUUAUUUAGAUGAACCCAUGCUUUUCCAGCCGACUCGCUCGACGGUAUGCAAAUGGUUUAAGGCCGCUUUUAAGCGUUCGGCUCAUGGCAAGCGCGCCAGAUGCAUGUCAAAGAUCGGACCUAGUGCCGAUCUCGACCUCUGGUGACUGUUGGCUAUGAAGUUCUCGAACAGACCUCUAACCAAUCAGCGACGCUAUAGCUUUGGGUACUUUCAGGACCCGUCUUGAAACACGGACCAAGGAGUCUAGCAUGUGCGCGAGUCAUUGGGAAUUAUUAAACCUAAAGGCGCAAUGAAAGUGAAAAAUCUCCUUGUGAGAUUUGAGGGAAGACAAGCGAUUUGCCUUUAAAGUGAUCGUUUUGCAUUCCCGGGGCGUCUCGUUCACAUUACGUGAAGAGGCGCACCAAGAGCGUACACGCUGGGACCCGAAAGAUGGUGAACUAUGCCUGGUCAGGACGAA